AUCCUUUUCUGGUUCGUAAGCGUGAUGACUGAGUGUUCAUGCUGUUGUGUGACAUGCGCCACCCUUAAACCUUGUUCCGACGUUGGCACAUUACCCAUCUGAUG
ensembl:snoRNA